CGUAAUUCUUUGACGGGAACUUUCUUUAAAAGCAACUCAUUUCCAUUUUUCCAGAUGAAUCACAUGACAAAUGAGGAUCAUCAGCAAGUAGCAGUCCAAGCAUUGAUUGUCUUAGAUGUUCUCAAUCUUUCAGAAAUGAAUGGAUCAUUGUGGUUUAAGCGUGUAGCUGAUCAUAUGCUUGAAGAUGAAAGGACCAUGCUAAUUACUGAAAGAUUUGAAAAAAUUGUAGCUGAUGAUAUGCUUGAAGAUGAUAUCCUAAAAGAAGAGCUAACUUCUAAUAAUGCAUCGUUUUAAAUUUUUAAUAUUUUACUUUAUUUAAUAAAGUUGGUCAUUUGUUUUUUUUGUUAUUGUAUAUAUUCACUGUAAAAAAUAA